rnacentral:lncRNA from 1 species
AUGGCCGCCGACGGCAGCCCUGAGGAGGAGGAAGAUGGCGGCACUGCCAAUGCUUCCGUGCCCAGUGCUGCAGAAGAGGGAGGCGGCGAGGGGGAGGAAGAGCUGAAGGGAGGCCUGAGUGGGGCCAUGGGGCCCAGCCAGGAGGGGCCCCACAGGGCACAGGGCCCUGGGGAGGAUGACGCCAUGUUGGGCGCCCCUGAGGCAGGGGGAGAGGCCGCCCACCAGCCUGGCCCACAAGCUGGCUUCCAUGACCAGGAGGAUGAGGAGACUGAUGCUGGCUCCAAAGAAGUGGCCACUGAGGAGCAGGGGAAGCCUGAAGGAGAGAAAAUGGAGGAGCCAAGAGUGGUGUCUGCUCCUGAAACUGGAGAAGAAGGGGAAGAGCAGAGCUCAGAGGAAGAUGACGAGCAGGGGGAAUCUGAGGAAGAGGGAGAUGAAGGUGGAGAGUCUGAAGAAGAUGGAAGCAAAGGAGAGUCGGAGGAGGAGGAAAAGUCUGAGGAGGACGGAGAGUCUGAGGAGGACGCUGCUGGCCCAGCAGGGCCAGAGGACGGAGCUGAAGGAAGUGACAAGGAAGAGACCAGCACUUUAGGGGAAAGUGGCCACAGCAAAGCAGCAGCUGCCAGCAAGGGAGAAGCCAAGGAUGGCCCUACCAGCUGCCAUCACCCACCAUGUGGGGACGUGGAGCCUGGCUCUGGCAGCAGCAGCCCAGCAACAGCAGAAAACCCACCUACAGCAGUGGAAGAACCAGCAGCAGCAGAAGACCCACCAGCAGCUGUUGAAACUCCACCAGCAGUAGUGAAAAACCCACCAGCAGCAGAAGACCCUCCAACAGCAGAAGACCCUCCAACAGCAGAAGACCCUCCAGCAGUGGAAGACCCUCCAACAGCAGAAGACCCUCCAACAGCAGAAGACCCACCGGCAGCAGUGGAAGCCCCCCCUGCAGACAACCCAUCGCUGGCAGAAACGGAGAGCCCACCCAGCCCCAGUGCCCACCCUGCUGCCGCUGAGCACCAGCACAGACAGAUAGGUUGGAGUCUUUUGCUGUUGGUGUGCCGUAGCGUAGUGAGCAGAGGGCGGCGAGAGUGA